GGUGUUCUUCCCGAUAUCUACACAUUCCACCGUUACACCGGGAAUUCCAGUCUCCCCUACCGCACUCAAGCCCGCCCGUACCCGGCGCGGAUCCACCGUUAAGCGAUGGACUUUCACACCGGACGCGACGAACCGCCUACGAGCCCUUUACGCCCAAUAAUUCCGGAUAACGCUUGCACCCUACGUAUUACCGCGGCUGCUGGCACGUAGUUAGCCGGUGCUUAUUCGAAAGGUACACUCACCCCGAAGGGCUUGCUCCCAGUCAAAAGCGGUUUACAACCCGAAGGCCGUCAUCCCGCACGCGGCGUCGCUGCAUCAGGCUUGCGCCCAUUGUGCAAUAUUCCCCACUGCUGCCUCCCGUAGGAGUCUGGGCCGUAUCUCAGUCCCAAUGCGGCCGGUCGCCCUCUCAGGCCGGCUACCCGUCGAAGCCAUGGUGGGCCGUUACCCCGCCAUCAAGCUGAUAGGACGCGACCCCAUCCCAUACCGCAAAAGCUUUCCCAGAGGACCAUGCGGUCAACUGGAGCAUCCGGCAUUACACCCGUUUC
rnacentral:rRNA from 1 species